rnacentral:rRNA from 1 species
ACGGCUCAGUAACACGUGGAUAACCUGCCCUUGGGUCUGGCAUAACCCCGGGAAACUGGGGAUAAUUCCGGAUAACGCAUAUAUGCUGGAAUGCUUUAUGCGUCAAAUGGAUUCGUCUGCCCAAGGAUGGGUCUGCGGCCUAUCAGGUAGUAGUGGGUGUAAUGUACCUACUAGCCCACAACGGGUACGGGUUGUGAGAGCAAGAGCCCGGAGAUGGAUUCUGAGACAUGAGUCCAGGCCCUACGGGGCGCAGCAGGCGCGAAAACUUUACAAUGCGGGAAACCGUGAUAAGGGGACACCGAGUGCUAGCAUCAUAUGCUGGCUGUCCAGGUGUGUAAAAUACACCUGUUAGCAAGGGCCGGGCAAGACCGGUGCCAGCCGCCGCGGUAACACCGGCGGCCCGAGUGGUGAUCGUGAUUAUUGGGUCUAAAGGGUCCGUAGCCGGUUUGGUCAGUCCUCCGGGAAAUCUGAUAGCUCAACUAUUAGGCUUUCGGGGGAUACUGCCAGACUUGGAACCGGGAGAGGUAAGAGGUACUACAGGGGUAGGAGUGAAAUCUUGUAAUCCCCUGUGGGACCACCUGUGGCGAAGGCGUCUUACCAGAACGGGUUCGACGGUGAGGGACGAAAGCUGGGGGCACGAACCGGACUAGAUACCCGGGUAGUCCCAGCCGUAAACGAUGCUCGCUAGGUGUCAGGCAUGGCGCGACCGUGUCUGGUGCCGCAGGGAAGCCGUGAAGCGAGCCACCUGGGAAGUACGGCCGCAAGGCUGAA